GGGUAUAAAAGAAUAAAACUAUCAUAUUAAUGGGACUUAAGAAUACAAUUUAUUUUAAAACAAUUCUCCUGCGUACAGUAACGCCGUGCAUUUUCACAACCCAAUAGUGUUUAGUUCAAUAAAUAAAAUGCUAAAGUCAAUAGUGUUUAUAAUAACUUUGGGCCCAUAAUAAUACUAAAAUUAAACAAAAUGAGGGCCCAACUAAAAUGAAAUGAAAUGAGAUGGCAUAAAAACAAAUAAAACCCUAAUAUCCCUAACUUGCAUUUCUUCCCAGUCUUAGCGCCGCUUCUUCGUCUUUUCCAUUCUUCUUCAGUUUUUUUCGUGGUUCUUCUUCUUCAUUAAUGUUGCAAACUCAUUUGCGCUGCACUCACCUCUAAAUUCCCUAUGCUUUCGUUCUCAUUCUCUGUCUCGUCAGCAACCUCUCUAAGUCUUCCGCCGGUCGUCGUCCGCCUCCUCUUGUUGCCGUCGCCCAUUUGGCUUCACCUCGGAAACUCCUCAGCAGCAGCCUGCGUCUACCUUGCCCCGCUCCGUCUCAGUGCGCAAGCUCAGCAUUUGUCGUCGCCUCGCCUUCUCCGACCUCGGCGCCUCCGCCUAGCAAGUCCGCACAAGUAAACUCGAGAAAGAGUUUACAUAGAGAAGAUAUUUUCCAGACUUUGUGGUGUAGUUUCCAAAUCAUCUGGUAUUUAUAGACUAAAUUCAUAGUAAAUUGGCUCCAAGAUAUGGUGAAUUUGAAUUUUGAAUUUGAAUUUAGGCUCCAAUUAUUGGAGCCAAAAUUGCACAUCUUAGCAAUGUUCAGCAGAUAAAACAAACAAAAUUACCCUCUGGAUAAAUUGAUGUGUGCAAUGGCGGGAUCACAUUCCCCCAAGUUUCUAUGCUUUAAUAUAUGUAU
rnacentral:lncRNA from 1 species